rnacentral:rRNA from 1 species
GACGAAGGUGGCGAGCGUUGUUCGGAAUCACUGGGCAUAAAGCGCACGUAGGCGGUGACGUAAGUCGGGUGUGAAAUCCCUCGGCCUAACCGAGGAACUGCGCCCGAUACUGCGUUGCUUGAGGACCCCAGGGGUGCAUGGAAUUUCCGGUGGAGCGGUGAAAUGCGUUGAUAUCGGAAGGAACUCCGGCGGCGAAAGCGGUGCACUGGGGGGUUUCUGACGCUGAGGUGCGAAAGCUAGGGGAGCAAACGGG